AUUUGAAUAGUUUAAUAAAUAAACAUUUCAUUUUCAAUGAAAAAAUGAGAACUCUUCUCUUCAAAUA
rnacentral:tRNA from 1 species